CUUGCCCGGUUCGGACAAUCGACCAGGUUCCCCGGUCGGGUACAUGUACUACUACCCUCCCGAGGAUUGUCUUUGACUCGGCUGUAUAGAAAAAUCUAAAUGCUUCAGUAAUAUCCCCGGAGAAUCAGUUGCCCUCACAGAGGAGAGUGACUUACGCGUAUCGGUUUUUAGGAUUUUAUUUAAGUCUUGUUAUGAUUAUAGUCCUGAAUUUGGACCAUCCGACUGGUGUCUAACGAAAACACACAUGUCGUGUGUUUUAACUUACCAGUUUUUACGACUCCUGCACUCUCUGAGCCAAAUCUGAAUGAUCAAAACAACGUGCACGUGUGACUGCUCACACUGGUGCGUCGCCAGUCAAUGAUGGGCUAGGGGGCGACGGGCAGUGUCCAGAAGGAGCGGCGUCGGAGCGCCGCCGCGCGGCCGCGAGGAAGCGACUGCAGCGCAGGGCGCAGCGGCUUGCGGGAGGUGGGGCUUGCUCGAAUCGGAAUCUACACGGCGUGGUUUCGGGCGCAGCUCGGCGCACGGGUUCGUGACCUUGUUUGGGAUUGAGGAUGGGGGCGUAGGUUCUACCAGCGGGUUGCCGUUGCGAGGUCAAGUACAUCGUCGGCGGCGGUGGAGCGGCCGAGAGAGUACAAGGAGCGCUGCUGGCGGAAGCGCGAGGAGGAGGAGGGGGCGAGCAGCGGGGAGUCGAUACUGUAGCAAUAACUGCGGCCGUCGUGCCCCUCGGCGCAGGUGCAGUAGUGGAUGGUGCGCCCACGCGAGGGCGUCGACCUAACCAGCGCGUGCAGCAGUGACUUCCGGUGGGGACCAAACAGGAGCAAGCGUCGGCUGGGUCCGUCGCCCCCGGACAGCUAGCGGGGCGACAACCUCAAGCGUUCCGCCGUACACGGCGCCCUAUUAACCCAAGUGUGGCUCCACGCUGAGUACCGGUGCCGGCCUCAGGCAGACGAACUACAGUGCUGACGACUUCGCCAGUACCUCAGUACGUCCUUCGACGAAGCCCUCAGUCCGAAGGCAAAGGUCCUAGUCACCCGGUGAUACUAGAGUCCUCGACUACUUCCCUAAAUACGUACCCAACGCCGUUUAAUACGUAACCCAUGAGAGCCACCACGAUCUGUUCUAUGAUGACCCUAUUAACUCGAACCACCCCGAAGAUAAGUCUAUUGCAAGCGGUGGCUAUUUGGAUACGGAGGCCUCAAGAGGGUGCACAAGUUCAAGCCGCUAUAGUGUAUAUUGGACAUGUCGGUGUCAAAAGAUGUAGAACCAGUCUUACAUCGUAUACUUAGUGAGGUACUAAACGACUCGUGUGGACGGGAAUUUAGUUACAGGUGUGUAAAUUAAGUACUUCGAUGUAUGUCUCUAGGAACGUGGGGUUCCCCUAAAAGCGGGUACCGCCCUGGUCAAUUUCAAGGACGAUCACAAGAGCUCAGGUUCCGACUGAUGUUUGGAAAACGAGUACGCCAACCAUUGAAGAGACUCACAUCUAGACACCACUCUUGUAAUAACGUCUUUCCUGUUCUCCUUACAUAUAUAGUACUAACAGCAGACCCUCGUCGUAAACAUGGUCUGGACCUUCCUUUUAAGAAUCGUUGGCUCUUAAAGAUGGUAUGGAACUUCAAGAAACCCGAGGCAAGCUUCAGAAAAGAAAGACUAAACUACGACCGACCUCUGGUUAAAACGGUACCCCUAACCAGUAGUUUGUAAUUUUCCCUCGUGACAAGAAAGUUACUCCCCCUUGACGAGGAAAAAACGAAGAGGAGCCGCAUAUAACACCGGAAUGACGUACUAUGAGAUUUUCACGGGUACCUAGUAUUCUUGUAACUACAAUGUUUAGUUUAAGCCCCACACGGUCAACUGACCCGUAACCCGCGAAAGUAACACGUCUUUUUGAUUUAACCUAUCUCAUGAAUCUAGGUAGUCAAAGUAUAGAUUUGAUGAUGCAUACCGAAAGGACCCAACCGCGGUGAAUAGAAGUAAUUAUGGCACCAGUAUAAAUGUCACACGAGGUAGGACUUCGGCUCUUCUAGAGCGGAGUUCUGUUAUAUCCUGUACCUCUCUCCGGCCGUGUACUAUUGUUCCCAGUCGGCUACUCGGAACGCGGACCAGCGACCCUCAACAAGGACGCUACCUCGUCGUCACUAGCGUAUACAUUUAUAAGGACUGGACAGAAAAAUGGUCACCUGUAACAUACUAAGGCUGUACGACGGGACGACUUGUCCUGGCUCACAUUCGUUGGGAAAACACUCGUAUCAACGAAUUACGUCAGUGACCACGUAGUGCGUACCCAACAACUUUAAGGCUGUGCGACGGGACGACUUGUCCUGGCUCACAUUCUAGUUACUGAACCCAAACGACGUCAUGAACACUCGUAUCAACGAAUUACGAGAUAAAUCAUGAGGGAGGCAGGGUUUUAUAUUCUAGUAAAAAAAUAUGAUUCUAUCACAGUUUUUACUAGAAUAUAAAAACCUACCUCAUGGUAUAAUAAUGAACAUUACAUCAACCUUCAAAACACAACAACUUUAGAAACUUUAUGCGACUUAUGAGAACCCAGUAGAGGCUUUGUUCUGGUUAAAAAGUACACAUACAAACAAUGAUGGACGUUUGGUUAAAACCGGUAGGAAAAAUAGAACGUGCUUUUAACCAAUAUAGUGCAGACAUAUAGUUUUAAAACAUU
rnacentral:rRNA from 1 species